AUGUGUGGUUAUCAAGAGGAGUCGCUGUUUCAUUCCCUGGUAACAUGUGAACAUGCGAAGCUAUUCUGGAGAGAGGCAGAGGCUUUCUUUGAACUUAAACUGCCACGGCUGCACCCUGCUACGUGGUCGAGGGACUUACUUGAUCCCAGCUUCAUUGGGAAAGAUAGAGCAGCUAUUAUCAUAUCAGUUAUGUGGAUUAUUUGGUCAAGCAGGAAUAAGUACACUCACGAGGAAGUCAAGUACCAGCCCGGGCGAUCCAUGAUCCUAGUGAAGGAACUCAUUCAAGCCUUGUAUAUCCCUACGGAAGGGGUUGACAAGAGAAAUUGCAGCAAGGAGAAAUGGAAACCGCCGGAAGAAGGGUGGUGCAAGAUCAAUACGGAUGCUUCUGUUAAUGUCAUUACAGGAGCAUCAGCGAUUGGGAUGGUGGCGUGGGACCACGCCGGAGAGAUUAUACUAGCCACAGGCCGCAAGGUACCGGGGGUGACCGACCCUUAUUGCGCUGAGCUGCUGGGUGUCAGAUAA
rnacentral:rRNA from 1 species